GGCCGGUUAGCUCAGUCAGUUGAGCGUGGUGCUAACAACGCCAAGGUCGCGGGUUUGAUUCCUGGUCGGUCC
rnacentral:tRNA from 1 species